CAUUUAGUUUGUUUAGGUGAAAAACCUAGACAAAUUACUUGCCAUCAUGUGACCCUUAUAGCGGCAAUCAUCUUGAAUAUGAUUUUUGCUAAAAGAACACCACAUAUCAAGGAGAAAAUGCCCCUGAUGAUAUAUAAGCAUCUUUACAACCACUACCAUCAAAAUGGAUUGAGAAAGAAAACAUUCUUUUUCUAACAGAUUUAACAGAUUCCAGUCCUUUCAUGUAUACAAUGUAGGAUAGAAGGCGACAUAUUUUAG
rnacentral:misc_RNA from 1 species